AGAAAGAGUAGACUACUAAGUCAAUCUGAGGCUAACCCCAGGAACCAGAACAACCAACUACCCCAAUAAGAACCCCAGAUCAACCAAUUGAAUGUCAUUCAUAUACUAAGAUCUGAAAAAUAAAUAGAUAACCAUGUGGGCACACCUGAAAUGAAAGAAGAAGAAAUAGAAUAUUCACUAUCUGAACCAUUGUCUAACCAGGGCC
rnacentral:lncRNA from 1 species